UGGGGAAUCUUCCGCAAUGGACGAAAGUCUGACGGAGCAACGCCGCGUGAGUGAUGACGGCCUUCGGGUUGUAAAGCUCUGUUAAUCGGGACGAAUGGUUCUUGUGCAAAUAGUGCGAGGAUUUGACGGUACCGGAAUAGAAAGCCACGGCUAACUACGUGCCAGCAGCCGCGGUAAUACGUAGGUGGCAAGCGUUGUCCGGAAUUAUUGGGCGUAAAGCGCGCGCAGGCGGAUUGGUCAGUCUGUCUUAAAAGUUCGGGGCUUAACCCCGUGAUGGGAUGGAAACUGCCAAUCGAGAGUAUCGGAGAGGAAAGUGGAAUUCCUAGUGUAGCGGUGAAAUGCGUAGAUAUUAGGAAGAACACCAGUGGCGAAGGCGACUUUCUGGACGAAAACUGACGCUGAGGCGCGAAAGCCAGGGGAGCGAACGGG
rnacentral:rRNA from 1 species